rnacentral:rRNA from 1 species
GACGAACGCUGGCGGCGUGCUUAACACAUGCAAGUCGAACGAAGUGGCGAACGGGUGAGUAACGCGUAAUAAACCUGCCCUUCAGAGGGGGACAACAGUUGGAAACGACUGCUAAUACCGCAUACUGAAGGAGGGGAUUGCGUCUGAUUAGACAGUUGGAGGGGGAACGGCCUAACAAGGCGAUGAUCAGUAGCCGGUCGUAGAAGGUGAACGGCCACAUUGGGACUGAGACACGGCCCAGACUCCUACGGGAGGCAGCAGUGGGGAAACUUCCGCAAUGGACGAAAGUCUGACGGAGCAACGCCGCGUGAGUGAUGACGGCCUUCGGGUUGUAAAGCUCUGUUAUUCGGGACGCGGUACCGGAAUAGAAAGCCACGGCUAACUACGUGCCAGCAGCCGCGGUAAUUC